rnacentral:lncRNA from 1 species
ACUAAAUGACAGGGGACAUAUUUUAGAAACAAACUAAAUCUCCUGAGUAUGUAAACAUUAUCACAUGACCUUGCUUAAGUUUAAACAAAGUGAAAUAUUCUCAGUUUUUUCUCCAGAAGAAAAAACACUAUUCCAACUGCGUAAAAAAAACAACUAACCAAACAACCAAAUAUACAUGGAAUAUAAAAAUGCUCAUUAGAUUACAUAAAAUGAAAGUACCUCCACUCCACAAGCACUAAAAUAAUCAAUCUCUCCGUUAGUAUCGAAUUAGGAUAAUUUUUACUCACAUAUGACACUUAUUAACAGAAUGGAAGGUAAAUUCAAAGAGUUCUCAAUUCUUAAAAACAUCAUAUAUGGACAUAAAAGAUAAGAAGACAACAAACUACAACACGCAUCAACCCGAAACUUCUUCGGACACAAUCAACAUAAAUGGAAAAUGCUCGAAACCUGUAUUAUGACUCCUUAGACGACGUAUACCUUCAACCAAUCAAGUAGCAGAUGCCAAGGAAGGAGAGAGAGAGAUGUUUAGCUUGCAAAUUUAUGGGAUAUUAGUGGCAACAAUAAUUAAUAUUUACGAAUCUUCGGUCAGCAAAUAAAUAUGCAUUCACUUUAAAAACUAUUUCCAAUAUACAUCUAGUAGCGGUUAAAUGGUGUUCACAAAGAGUUUUCGUAACAUUGCAAAUAUAGAUAUUUCUAAAUCUAUUAUGUUAUUUUCUAAGGUAAAAUGGCAUUUAUAACGUAUCAUAGAGCAUUUUAUGUGUGUUUGGUUAAAACUCAAAAUUACAAAAUAUGUUUGCUAAGUACGUGCCGAACUAUACAUGUUGGACCUAUAACCCAUAGCCUUAUUCGAGUGUCUAGUACUGAAUACAUGUAGGAGAGUUAAUUUUAGAUACGUAUAGACGAAUUUGAAAAAUAGAAAUUAAGCCAUUAAAAUAAAACACACUGCAAUUAUGUUCUAAGAAAACAUGUUGGAUUUCAUGAUUCUAAUGUUGGAGAAACAAAGUGAUACAAACCUUGAAGCAACUUGCCAUUGAAAACUACCCCGAGGGGAGGUGAAGGUGCUGAAAUUAGAGAAAAUAAAAGAAAAGUGAUCAUCAUGAUGAAACAAACAAAUCAAUUUUAAGUUUGCAUGCACACUUUGUAGAUGUAUACUGGACUACUUUGAAUAAUUAUGUAAAUAUAGUUGUGAUAAUUUUCACAUUUCAAAACAUUGAAAUAACUUAUAAAGAAUAAAAGUUAAAGGGUCAUAUAGUACUAAAGAAUAUAGCUUAAAAAAUGUAAUAUUGAAAGGGCCAAAAGUAAAAAAAAUUAAAAUACAUAAGGUGUCAAAAUAGGAAAAGUUUCAAUAGCAUGUGCUCAUUUUGAUUAAAAAUUGAAUUUGGGUUAUGAACUCGAUUAAAAUUUACAAAAUUAUAAAAAUUUAAAAAUUAAAUUGAGAAUACUUAAAUUUUAAAGGCCAAAGUAACAUGGAUAAGAUUUUAAGUGUGAAAGAGCAAUUUGUUCUUAUCGUAAUAUAAGUGAUCAUUGAUAAAUGCUUUUAGGUAAAAAAAGAAAAAGAAGUUUCUGAAUAUAAUUUUUUUGUCUAUAUACAACAAAAAAUUAAAUAUAAAUAUUUUAAUUAUGUUAAGUCUAAGAAAGUAAAGAUAAAGUUGAAUCCUUACGUUAUUAAAAGUCAUGUGUUUUAAAAUUAAUAUAUUUGUAGUUUAAUUAUAUGGAUUCAACUUUUAUCUAUUGAAUAAUAAUGAAACUACGGCAUGACAUUUUUGUUUUAAAAAUAUACAAAUUUAAGAACUAAAUUUAGAAUACUUUUAAACUUUAAAGGCCAAAGUAAAAUAAAAAAUAAAAAGAAGUUUUUGAAUUUAAUUUUAUUGUCUAAAUUUUAGAAAAAUAUAAAAAUUUGAAAACUAAAUUGAGAAUACUUAAACUUUAAAGGCCAAAGUAAAAUAAAAAAUAAAAACGACUUUUUGAAUUUAAUUUUAUUGUCUAAAAUUUACAAAAAAUAUAAAAAUUUAAAAAUUAAAUUGAGAAUAUUUAACUAUAAGGGCCAAAGUAAAUAAAAAAGACAAAAAAGUUUUUGAAUUUAAUUUUAUUGUCUAAAAUUUAAAAAAAUAUACAAAUUUAAGAUUAAGAACUAAAUUGAGAAUGCUUUUUUAAACUUAAAGGCCAAGUAAAAUAAAAAAAGAAAAAGAAGUUUUGGAAUUUAAUUUUGUGUCUUUAAAAUUUAAAAAAAUAUACAAAUUGAAAAACUAAUUGAGAAUUACUUAACUGGGCCAAAGUAGUUAAAUAAAAAAGAAAAAGAAGUUUUUGAAUUUAAUUUUAGUGUCUAAAUUUUGCAAAAAGUAUAAAAAUUUGAAAACUAAAUUGAGAAUACUUAAACUUUAAAGGCCAAAGUAAAAUAAAAAAGAAAAAGAAGUUUUUGAAUUUAAUUUUAUUGUCUAAAUUUUGAAAAAAACAUAAAAAUUUGAAAACUAAAUUGAGAAUACUUAAAUUUUAAAGGCCAAAGUAAAAUAAAAAAGAAAAACAACUUUUUGAAUUUAAUUUUAUUGUCUAAAAUUUACAAAAAAUAUAAAAAUCUAAGAACUAAAUUGAGAAUACUUAAACUUUAAAGGCCAAAGUAAAAUAAAAAAUAAAAAGAAGUUUUUGAAUUUAAUUUUAUUGUCUAAAUUUUAAAAAAAAUAUAAAAAUUUUAAAAACUAAAUUAAGAAUACUUAAACUUUAGGGGCCAAAAUAAAAUAAAAAAUAAAAAGAAAUUUUUGAAUUUAAUUUUAUCAUCUAAAUUUUACAAUUGAGAAUACUUUAACUUUAAAGGCCAAAGUAAAAAAAUAAAAAAAUAAAAAUAAAUUUUUGAUUUUAAUUUUACUGUCUAAAAUUUUCAAAAAAAAAAUAAAAAUUAAAAAUUUAAAAACUAACUUGAGGAUACUUAAACUUUAAGGCCAAAGUAAAAUAGAUAAGAUUUUAAGGAUGAAAGAGUAAUUUACUCUUAUGAUAAAACUAACUUGAGAAUACUUAAACUUUAAAGGCCAACAUAAAAUGGAUAAGAUUUUAAGGGUGAAAGAGUAAUUAACUCUUAUGAAAAAUGCGUUCACGUAAAAAAAAAUAAAAAUAAAAAGAAUUUUUUGAAUUUAUAUAUUUUUUUUCACUUUAAUAUCCUACAUAGAUAGAUAGGAUAAGAAAAUUGAAUUAAUAAAAAAUGGGAAGAUUUUGUACCUGAGAGCUGCAGUUGGACGAGGGAAAGUUGGUAUAGAAUUUAUUCAUCCCCUCCUAUGUGUCAAAGAUGGAUUUCCAGUCUAUCGUGACUUUAGGAAUGUGACGUAUGAGGGGCCAAUACUUGCCUUUGUCCUUUUCACACAGAGGUUUUAAUUUCGGACAUUCAAGAACGUACAAUUUUCAAAAGCGAUUGGGGAAGCCCUUGAUCUGGAAAGGACCCACCCAAAUUUUUAUCCAAUAAAAAUAUGCAGUCCAAAGGAUUGGGGCAGCCCUUGAUCUGGAAAGGACUCCAAACUUAGGGCAGGACCAAAUAGUCAUUUCAAAAGUGAUUGGGGCAGCCAUUGCUCUGGGAUGGAUGUGAAAAUCAUAACAAGAAUUUGAUUUCAGGGAGAGAGGGAGGCAAGGAGGGGGGAACGGAGGAUGUAGCCUAGAGAAGAACGGUUUUCAGCACUUUUAGAGAGGUGAGUUUUUGAAAACUCUUGAACAUAGCAGUCUCCAGAUCUAGGGCAGCUCCACAAUUCAGUUCUGUUAGCGGUUGGGAAGAACAUCCCUUUCAUAAGGCGCAUCUGUUAAUGAGUUCUUUAAGAGAGGAGAAUCUUGCCGAAACUGAUUUCUUGAGGGAUGCUUGAGGGCCCUAAGUGAAAGAGUGUAACUCCAGAAUUCAAGAGAUGGACAGUUGCUGUGUCUGCAAACUAUGAGGCAGGGCAUCUAGGUUUUCAAAGUAUGAGAUACGAGAUUUCUCUGAGAUUGGUUGGAAGAGAAAACCCAUCAUUCCGGGAUGGACUCCAGAGAAUUCAAUCCUUCUAUCACCAAAACUCCUGAGAUGCUUGGAGAUAUGCAAAGCAUUCGGGUGGGUAAGAAUUUGAGGUUAUUGCACAAUCUGGGAUCUCAAAAGAUUCAAGAGAUGGACAAGUUGAUUUUCACCCCUCCUCGGCUGCCAGUUGACUCCAGCAUUGCACAGCUAGGAAAUCUCAAGGUGUUUGAGCGAAGGCGAAGCCCACCUCUGGGGUGAAAUAUGUAUUUGAGUACUGGGACAAUCAGAACCUCAAGACUUCAAGAUAUAAGUAGUGUGCCGUCAUCCACUCGGGUAGGGCUCCAAAGCCAUUCGCAUUUACAAAAUCUCAAGUUUUCUGAGCCGUCGAUGAAAACCUUUCUCUGCGAAAAGAGACAAGGAAUCGGACAGAGUUGAUUUGCAGCUCUACAAGAAUGAGAGGGUAUUGCAGAAAUGUGGCCAGCUCUCUAGUUUCUCACAAUCUCUUAAUUUCAGAAACUCAAGACUCAUAAUGAAAGACAUCCCUUCCUGCGCUGUUGUGGAGGUUGCUUUCUUCUUCUUCGUCUUCUUCUUCUCUUCUUCAAACCAAGGAAACAAGUUUUCAGGGCAAACCGAUAAUCUUGGAGACUUCGGAGGGAGGGGAGACAGUGCUCCAGCGUCCACCAUAUUCUGCCAACAAUGUCGAAGUUCUUGCAAUGUUAAUAUCCAAACUCUCGACUCUCCGCAACCUUCAAAAACCAGUUUGGCUAAAGAACCUAGAUUUUGAAAUAUUUCGGGAAGUUCAAGGAAGGUCAGUGAAAUUCAUAUGGUUAGGAUGCUACAUUUGCAAACUCCACUUCAUCAGUAACAUUUGAUCACAAAUGGUUGUUAGGAAUUGAAAACAUCACGAAUCCAAGAAUUUGAGCGAGCUAGUUCAACUUGUUCCCCACUCAAGGAGCCAUGGAGGCUUGGACAUGGAAACGCCUCCAUGAUAUGGUGUUGGUGAAUGAAGGAAAGGACAAGGUCCGGCCAUCAAAGUAGC